UACGUAGGGGUGCGAGCGUUGUCCGGAAUUAUUGGGCGUAAAGGGCUCGUAGGCGGUUUGUCGCGUCGGGAGUGAAAACCCAGGGCUUAACCCUGGGCUGGCUUCCGAUACGGGGCAGACUGAGAGUAUGCAGGGGGAGAACGGAAUUCCUGGUGUAGCGGGUGAAAUGGCGCAGAUAUCAGGAGGAACACCGGUGGCGAAGGCGGAUCUCUGGGCCGAUACUGACGCUGAGGAGCGAAAGCGUGGGGAGCGAACAGG
rnacentral:rRNA from 1 species